rnacentral:rRNA from 1 species
UACGGGGGGAGCAAGCGUUGUUCGGAUUUACUGGGCGUAAAGGGCGCGUAGGCGGUCAGCACAAGUCAGUUGUGAAAUCUCCGGGCUUAACUCGGAAAGGUCAACUGAUACUGUGCGACUAGAGUGCGGAAGGGGCAACUGGAAUUCUCGGUGUAGCGGUGAAAUGCGUAGAUAUCGAGAGGAACACCUGUGGCGAAGGCGGGUUGCUGGGCCGACACUGACGCUGAGGAGCGAAAGCGUGGGGAGCGAACAGG